AAAUCAGAAGGAGAGAGAGAGAGAGAGAGAGAGAAUUUUUACCUUUGCACUUUUUCUGUAAAAUGAGGCAGCUUUCCUGGUUCAAACCCUCUCAGGCUUGUUAUUAAAAAAUUGUUGUCAGAUUUGGAGAAACAGAAUUAAAGGCAGAGGGGGGAAUGGAAGAAGAGCCUACGUAUGAGGACAUGGCAACCGAGGAACCGCCGCAGGAUAGCGAUGUUGAAAACCAGCCGAUAGACCCCGAAUUAUGGAAAGAUGGCGAUAUUGUUACGAUAACAAAGCCGGGGCCAUACAAGAUUACUGCUUUGGUGUGUGACUAAUGGCCAACAGUUGCAGAGACAGAAACUCCCGAGGAGGCUGCUGAAACUAUGAUUGACGGAGCCGUUGCCGGAGGCGAUUCAGAAACAAAGGCUACAAACGGGGUGUCAAUGGUAAAACCCAAAGAGCAUGGCGAGAAAGGUGCUACGGGGUCCGACGGUGCCUCAGCUGAGGAUGACGAUAAUUCAGAAU